rnacentral:miRNA from 1 species
CCGAGACGCCGUCAGCAUGAGCCUC